CACCCCCGGUUAAGCACUACUCUCCUCCUCCCGUUUACCAUUCUCCACCACCACCAAAGAAACACUACGUGUACAAGUCCCCUCCUCCUCCGGUUAAACACUAUUCUCCUCCUCCGGUUUACCACUCUCCACCACCUCCUAAGAAGGACUACGUCUACAAAUCUCCACCCCCACCGGUUAAGCACUACUCUCCCCCACCAGUCUACCACUCACCACCACCACCCAAGAAACAUUACGUAUACAAAUCUCCUCCUCCUCCGGUUAAACACUACACACCGCCUCCAGUUUACCAUUCCCCACCCCCACCUAAAAAACAUUACGUCUACAAAUCUCCUCCUCCUCCAGUGAUGCACUAUUCUCCUCCUCCGGUUUACCACUCUCCACCACCACCAAAGAAACACUAUGUGUACAAAUCUCCUCCUCCUCCGGUUAUGCACUACUCCCCUCCUCCGGUUUACCACUCUCCACCACCACCAAAGAAACACUACGUGUACAAAUCUCCUCCUCCUCCGGUUAAACAUUAUCCCCCACCGGUUUACCACUCUCCACCACCACCAAAGAAACACUACGUGUACAAAUCCCCUCCUCCUCCAGUGAAGCACUACUCUCCCCCUCCGGUUUACCAUUCCCCACCCCCACCAAAGAAGCACUAC
rnacentral:lncRNA from 1 species